UUAGACUUCAUCAAGCAAGCCUGGUUUCAUUUCUUCUUGCUUAGCCUGAUGAACCAGUGUGCUGUACACCACUGUCGGAAACACUGGUACAAAGUCCUGGUACAGAACUCUUUCUGAAUAUUAAUCUCCUGUAUUGCUAUGCCAGAAUCAGAUUCUCCAGAGAAAGAACUUCUAUAUGGAAAGAGGCAGAUUGCUGGAAGGAGUAAAUAAUUCACAGACAACUCAUAAGCCCUGAGCUCUGGUCUGUCUCUGCCAAUUAAAUGCUGUGGAACUUUUGGAAAUGAAGAUGAGAUAAAGGCUUUUCAUACCAACAAAAGUGGAAAGAAUUCAUCAUAAGAAGACUUGAGUGAGAAGAAAUGCUAAGAAAACUCUUCAAGUAGAAGAAAAUGAUACCAGAUGGAAAUCUGGAUCUCCAAGAAGGAACAAAAAGUAUUGAGAAUGGGAACUAUCCUAUGUGGAAAAUGGUAACUCAUCAAACCUGCAGCAGAAGGCAACUUUUCAACUCUCAGUCAAUUUGAUCAACAUUCAGCAUCCAUCAAAUGAAGGAUUGGGAGUGAUAACCUUAAAACAUCCUGCUAGGCUACUGGUUAUUGAUUCUCUGUUCAGCCUGAUGGAUGAAGAUGCAAAGGCAACAAGUGAAGUGCAAACCUGGCUGCCGCCUCCUUCAUGCCAUGUUAGGUUAGGCAGGACUUGUGUCUGAAAAGCACCAUUGUUGGUUUUACCAAAAAUGCACUGCCGUCAUCACGACCAAUCAGAAUGUCACCCUAGCUGGAGAUCUGCUCCUCCUGGCCUUUCCUUGGGAUUUUCAGAAAAGCUCAGAAAACAAUUUACAAUAAAACUUAAUUACUUUUAGCCUGGCUGUUUGCGAUCCACUAUGAUUGGAACUAUUUUGGGGAUGACGUGUGCGAUUUAUGCUAAGAAG